UUAACUCAUUCUUUUAGAUUGAGAGCGGUUAGUGGCGGACUGGUGAGUAACACGUAAGCAACCUGCCUAUCAGAGGGGGAUAACAGUGAGAAAUCAUUGCUAAUACCGCAUAAGCUAGUAGUAUCACAUGAUACAGCUAGAAAAGGAGUAAUCCGCUGAUAGAUGGGCUUGCGUCUGAUUAGCUAGUUGGUGGGGUAACGGCCUACCAAGGCGACGAUCAGUAGCCGAACUGAGAGGUUGAACGGCCACAUUGGGACUGAGAUACGGCCCAGACUCCUACGGGAGGCAGCAGUCGGGAAUAUUGCGCAAUGGAGGAAACUCUGACGCAGUGACGCCGCGUAUAGGAAGAAGGUUUUCGGAUUGUAAACUAUUGUCGUGAGGGAAGAAGAUGACAGUACCUCAGGAGGAAGCUCCGGCUAACUAUGUGCCAGCAGCCGCGGUAAUACAUAGGGAGCAAGCGUUAUCCGGAAUUAUUGGGUGUAAAGGGUGCGUAGACGGGAAAUUAAGUUAGUUGUGAAAUCCCUUGGCUUAACUGAGGAACUGCAACUAAAACUGAUUUUCUUGAGUACUGGAGAGGAAAGUGGAAUUCCUAGUGUAGCGGUGAAAUGCGU
rnacentral:rRNA from 1 species